CUUGGUUUGAAAGUGUGACGUUACUGACAUGCGCAGAUGCUAGUUGCUAGUAUCUGCAUGAUCUCCCGCGCGCUCCGCGGGCUUCGCGCGCAGAUUUGGCAAGUACAUUCGGUGUGGCGGUUUCAGUAGCUACCGGUAGGAUUUCCACAUAGGUGCCUUUUUGUUGUUACUAACCUAUUCACCGAAUUUUACAGAUGUAUUAAUGAGUUUGGUCUUAUACGUCCAUUAACCUGCCUUUGCGAGGUUUUAAAAUGUUUCGUAGCAGCACAGAGGAGGUAGGUGACACCCCAGAAUGUGGACAAACAUGGGGGGUGUCCCCAAUGGACAUAAGCGGACUAAAUGAAACUACCUCGUACGCUCCCGCAUCAACUUCCUCCGGUUCAUCCCAUCAAAGUUUAGAUGAAGGCAGUACGAGCUUUAACGAUGGACCAUCGCUCCUCCGAGUGACCUCAGGUCAGUUCCAUCACAGCCUCAGGUUAGGCAGGAACAAUUCAGCACUCUUUGCAUCUACCUCGGAUAGCUCUUCCCACCGCAGCCGUGGAGGAACACCGAAACAAAGGAGGACCCCGGGGUCUGCUGUGGCUACGGGCACACACCCAGCACGGACACCAGUGACUGAUCACACUGCAACAAGUUGCUCCUCUGCGACCACAACCUCUGGUGCAUCUGUGAUUGUGGCAGUAGUUGAAGGGCGUGGUUUGGCCAGGGGAGAGAUUGGCAUGGCCAGUCUCAACUUGAAAUAUCCAGAGCUUAUACUCUCGCAGUUUGCAGACACUGGGACCUAUGCCAAGGUCAUAACCAAGAUUCACAUCUUGGUGCCACUGGAAAUACUGAUGCCAGACACAGCCAGUGAGAAGGGGAAAGGGACAAAGCUGUUCAACCUCAUCAAGGAAAACUUUCCGGGAGUAGCUUUCACUGCUAUCCAAAGAAAGUAUUUUAAUGAAAGGAAAGGACUGGAGUACAUUCAGCAGCUGUGUGCUCCAGAAUUUGCCACCGUCCUCAUGGAAGUACAAGCUAAGUAUUAUUGCCUAGCAGCAGCAGCUGCUUUGCUGAAAUAUUUAGAGUUCAUCCAGAACUCCGUCUACGCUGCCAAGUCUCUCAAAGUGAGCUUUAAAGGGAGUGAACAGACAGCAAUGAUUGACUCAGCAUCUGCCACUAAUUUGGAGUUGGUGGUCAAUAAUAGAGACCACAGGAGCGAGCAUACCCUUUUAGGAGUACUUAAUCACACCAAAACGCCUGGUGGUGCUAGAAGGUUGCGCUCCAAUAUUCUGGAGCCUCUGGUUGAUGUGGACACCAUCAACAUACGCUUGGACACCAUACGAGAGUUGCUGCAGGAUGAGGAGCUCUUUUUUGGCCUAAAGAAUGCCAUAGGUCAUUUCCUUGACAUUGACCAGCUGCUCUCUGUUCUUGUCCAGAUCCCAAAGCAGGAAACAGUUCAGGUGGCUGAAGCAAAAAUUACACACGUCAUUCAGCUGAAACACACAUUGGACCUGGUGCCACGGUUAAGGAUGGUGUUAAAGAACUGCAAGACAACUCUGCUCAAGGCAUACUACACCUCACUGGAAGACAACAGGUUUGACAUUAUCCUAGAGCAGAUCAAGACUGUAAUUAAUGAUGACGCUACCUACCUGAAGGGGAGCCUGAACAUGCGCACCCAGAAGUGUUAUGCUGUCCGCCCAAAUAUCAACGAGUUCCUUGACAUUGCACGCAGAGCUUACACUGAGAUAGUAGACGACAUUGCAGGGCUAGUGAACCAGAUGGGGGAGAGAUACGGUUUCCCAAUGCGUACCAGCUUCAGCACAGCUCGAGGUUUCUUCAUCCAGAUGAAGCUUGAAGGAGUGGUCUUGCCUGAAGGGAAACUCCCCUCUGAGUUUAUCAAGGUCACCAAGCACAAGAACAACUAUGGCUUCACUAUUGCUGACCUGAUGAAGAUGAAUGACCGUUGUGAUGAGGCCCUGAGGGAGAUCUUUCACAUGUCCUAUGUGGUGAUAUGUCAACUGCUCAGCACUAUCCACGAGCACAUUCACUGCCUUUACAAGCUCUCUGAUGCCGUAUCCAUGCUCGACAUGUUGCUGUCACUGGCCAAUGCUUGCACCAUCUCAGACUAUGUGCGCCCAGAGUUCACAGACACACUGGCCAUCAAGCAGGGUCGUCACCCCAUUCUGGAGAGAAUAGUUGGACAGCAGCCUAUAUCGAACAAUAGCUACAUCUCCGAGGGCAGCAACUUUGUCAUCAUCACUGGACCCAACAUGAGCGGCAAAUCCACCUACCUCAAACAGGUGGCGCUGUGUCAGAUCAUGGCUCAGAUAGGUUCUUUUGUCCCUGCUGAGUAUGCCUCUUUUCGUGUCGCUGAUCAAGUUUUCACCAGAAUUGGUGUGGAUGAUGAUUUUGAAACUAACUCUUCCACCUUCAUGUUGGAAAUGAAGGAGAUCUCUUACAUAAUUCACAAUGUAAGUGACAGGUCCCUGAUCAUCAUAGACGAGUUGGGACGCGGUACCAGUGCUGAGGAGGGCAUUGGCAUCUGUCACUCAGUUUGUGAGUUCCUCCUUAGCCACAAGGCAUUCACCCUGUUUGCCACACACUUUAUGGAGCUGUGCCAACUCGAGUCUCUUUAUCCCAAUGUGGAGAACCAGCACAUGGAGGUUCAGCACACACGCAGUGGUGACACUGGCACAGAGAGUGUGGUGUAUACAUACCUGCUGAAUCGAGGAUGCUCUGAAGAAAGACACUAUGGUCUGAGAGCAGCAGAAAUGACUGCACUUCCUUCAAACAUUAUCCAAGAGGCAAAGAUAAUUGCCUCCAAAGUUAGCCAGCAGCUUUUGGUAUGGUUCAGAUCAGGUUUUGCCUAUUUGUCCUACCAUCUCUGGUGCCUUAACCUGUUCUGUGGGCCUUUUAUUUACAGUACAUUUUAGCGUGUGCUUUUAUAGCAUGUCCAUUUGUGAAACAGGAAAACUGGCUUUAACGUACAAGAAACCAAUAUUUGACCCUGAGCCAAACAUCACAGUGAUCCGGAAACACAGAGGCAAAGAGCUGUGUACCACCUGGCCACCCGCCUCCUGCAGACUGCUAGGAACUCCAGACUGGACCCUGACAGCUUGCGUAUGUAUCUGAAGGGCCU